rnacentral:lncRNA from 1 species
GCAGGCGAUUUGGUGGCACGAUAUCUUAGUAGUAUGGGUUCGAAUCCCGGCGAGUGAAGAACAUUGUUGGGUUGAAUAUCUUAACUAAAUAACUAACUUGAAACUUGGUACACAAGUGUUCCUUAUGAUAUGAUCCUUCUCAUUUUACUGCAAAAUUAAAGAUUUUACUUAAUUUUCGCGGUCCACUGAACAUAGAAAAUGAUUGUACGGAUA